rnacentral:rRNA from 1 species
UACGAAGGGUGCAAGCGUUACUCGGAAUUACUGGGCGUAAAGCGUGCGUAGGUGGUGGUUUAAGUCUGUUGUGAAAGCCCUGGGCUCAACCUGGGAAUUGCAGUGGAUACUGGGUCACUAGAGUGUGGUAGAGGGUAGCGGAAUUCCCGGUGUAGCAGUGAAAUGCGUAGAGAUCGGGAGGAACAUCCGUGGCGAAGGCGGCUACCUGGACCAACACUGACACUGAGGCACGAAAGCGUGGGGAGCAAACAGGG